UACGUAGGGUCCGAGCGUUAAUCGGAAUUACUGGGCGUAAAGCGUGCGCAGGCGGUUUUGUAAGCCAGAUGUGAAAUCCCCGGGCUUAACCUGGGAAUGGCAUUUGGGACUGCAAGGCUUGAGUGCGGCAGAGGGGGGGUGGAAUUCCACGUGUAGCAGUGAAAUGCGUAGAGAUGUGGAGGAACACCGAUGGCGAAGGCAGCCCCCUGGGUCGACACUGACGCUCAUGCACGAAAGCGUGGGGAGCAAACAGG
rnacentral:rRNA from 1 species